GGCGGGCAGAGGCCACGCCCCCCGUGCUGACAGAGGGGCUGGCGGGGGUCGUGCCAAGAUGGCGGCCGGGCGAGGGGAGUGGGCACGGCAGCGGCGGGGUUGGGAGUCCCGGCACACCUCGUUCUCACCUCAGCCCCGGAGGAGGCGAGCAGCUCUGGCAUCCUCCGCCUCACCGGGAUGCAGCUGCGCGAUGACCCCAGCAGCGACACGCGGCAGGAGGUGGAUGCUCGUGGAGGAGGGAAACUGCCAGGGAUGAGAUUACUGCUGAAGCAGGGCAUACUGCAAACAUGACGUGCUUUUCAUGCUUGAAGCUGGAUAAAUCUCCCUGUCUCAGCAGGUGGAAAGUGAAACCCAGGCCUGGAGCAAUUCUGGUGGUUUGUGUGGUUAAUCCCCAGGCAGUGCUCCCCACUCCUCAGAGCCUCAUGGCACUUCUGGGCUUUGCUCUCUCUCAGUACCACAUUUGACACUGAAGUGUGGUCCAAGAGCCCUGGGGCAGCUGUCACAGCUCCAGGGGCACAGUCUGCUGCUGCAGCCCCACCUGUCUGCCUGUCCCCUGCCCCUGGCAUCUGUAUUUCCUGAAAAUAAAUGGAAUUUCACCCUUCAAAAGUUUGUUUCAAAGUGACAGAGGAAAAGCUUAAUAAAAAUGCCAAGAUCACAUUUUCCUUACCUCCUAAAAUAAUGUGACAGAUCCAAUAUAUGCAUUAUUAACUGUGA